AAAUGGACUAGACGAUACUGAUAAUAAUAAUGGUUUUAUGCAAAGUACGAGUAAUGGAUUGCAGUGCAACAGAUCACUCAACGGUUGCUGAGCAUGAAUUAACAUUUUUAGCGCUUGGAAUAGUUUCAACAUCCUAUGUUUAAUAUGGAUUAGAAGAUUGCAGUACAGCAGAUCUUUCAAGCCAUGAUGAAACAUGAAUUAUGGUUUUUAGCACUUGGGAAAAUUUGGACAUCCCAUGUUGAAAUUUGACUAGACAAUACUGAUAAUAAUAAUAAUAAUAAUGGUAUUUUGCAUGAUUGCAGUACAGCAGAUCUUUCAAGCCAUGAUGAAACAUGAAUUAUGGUUUUUAGCACUUGGGAAAAUUUGGACAUCCCAUGUUGAAAUUUGACUAGACAAUACUGAUAAUAAUAAUAAUAAUAAUGGUAUUUUGCAUGUAUAGCAGAUCUUUCAAGGCUCGCUGAAACCUGAAUUAACAUUUUUACCACAUUGAAAAGUUUCAACAUCCUACAUUUAUAUUGGACUAGAAGAUUCCGAUAAAUCUAAUAAUUUUAUGCAAUUCACUUUUAUUAUUUUAUGGUUAAAUUCA
rnacentral:lncRNA from 1 species